CUUCUUCCCCCCUCGUUCUCCGGAGUGACUGGGCGUAAAGAGUUGCGUAGGCGGACAAGUAAGCGAAUAGUGAAAUCUGAUGGCUCAACCAUCAACACAUUGUUCGAACUGCUGGUCUCGAGAAUGGUAGAGGUAGUUGGAAUUUCUUGUGUAGGAGUGAAAUCCGUAGAUAUAAGAAGGAACACCAAUGGCGUAGGCAGACUACUGGACCAUUUCUGACGCUGAGGCACGAAAGCGUGGGGAGCGAACCGGA
rnacentral:rRNA from 1 species